UGGGGAAUUUUGGACAAUGGGGGAAACCCUGAUCCAGCCAUCCCGCGUGUGCGAUGAAGGCCUUCGGGUUGUAAAGCACUUUUGGCAGGAAAGAAACGUCAUGGGUUAAUACCCCGUGAAACUGACGGUACCUGCAGAAUAAGCACCGGCUAACUACGUGCCAGCAGCCGCGGUCAUACGUAGGGUGCAAGCGUUAAUCGGACUUACUGUGCGUAACGCGUGCGCAUGCGGUUCGGAAAGUAAGAUGUGAAAUCCCAGAGCUCAACUUUGGAACUGCAUUUUUAACUACCGGGCUAGAGUGUGGCAGAGGGAGGUGGAAGUGCGCGUGUAGCAGUGAAAUGCGUAGAUAUGCGGAGGAACACCGAUGGCGAAGGCAGCCUGCUGGGAAAACACUGACGCUCAUGCAAGAAAGCGUGGGGAGCAAACAGG
rnacentral:rRNA from 1 species